UAUUUUUCUUAUAUAUUAGAUUUUUUCUUAUAUGUUAUAUUUUAAAUUUUUAAACAAGAUUUUAAAUUACAAAAAUAUAAGUUUUUCUUAAGCAUACGACUAAAAUGAUUGAAAUGAUAUGUAUCAAUUAGAUGGUUGAUAUGAAACCUUUCAAAACCAUAUGGAAGAUAAAUGUCAAAAUAGUUUAAUUGUAUAAACAAUAAUGUUCACUUUUUUCAAGAAUGUGUUCGGUGGAAAAUACAAGGUUUUUGUAUCAUAAUUUGUUUAAUGUCCAAUCCGAUCAAUCCAAAAUAUACUAAUUAUAGUUUAGUUCCACAAUUUUAAUAAAAAUUGAUUCAAUCCAUCGGAAAGAAAUUAUAUAAUAAUAACAAAAAAAAUAUUGUAUAUGUAUAAAUAAAAUGAUCAAAUAUAAAAAAAAAAUAUAAUAAAUAAAUUUACCUUGCGCAAGACGCAUGUCUUAUUCUAGUCGUAUAAUAAAACUCGGAAUUAUUCAGUCCUAGUUCAGUAGAGUCAAAACACCCCCCCCCCCCCCCAAAAAUGCGUCUAUAAUCAAGCCACUAUUUACUCACGGAUCUAUUUGGAAACUGUUGCAUAGGGUUCUCAGGCUUUUGAGCGACCUACCCAAUAUAGAAGUCUUAAAUCUUGUUUUUUUUAUUUUUUUUUGAAAUCUCCUCUUAAAUACUAUGGAUGGAAGUGCUCUAAAGUGUGUUUGUUUGUUAGUUAUUUGAUUUUUAUGGAGAACUAUUCUUCAAAUCAAUGGCACACGAAUUAACUACUAGUUACCAUCACGGAAGGUACUAUUGUCACACUCUAAAAAUCAGUACGAAGACAAGCAUUUUAAAAGCUAGGAAGAUGAAUCUAAGCCUAGAAACACGUGGCUCACAUCAGCUCUCACAUGAUUUCUUUUCCUUUUACUAUCAGAAGGGGUAAAAACGAGAGCAAACGAUUCCUUCUAUGCACAUUGAAGAAAGUAAAAGUGCAAACAACAUGAAAAAGAUAAAAUAACAGAAUAAAUAAAACACUUUUUCUUUUUCAAAUUUUCUGCAAAGACCAUCAAUAAUGACACAUUUGGAAUUUCAUUGGAGACUACGUCCUUAAGGUCCACAAAAUAUCCAUUCAAUGCACGCACUUUUGAGAAGAGAGACUGCUUCAAAAGAAUAAAAAGGACGGUUUGAUUCUCACUUGGAAACAGCUAUAAUAACGAGGCAACAUAAUUAUUAACUCAAGUUAUUUUUUCGAAUUCCCUAGUUCCAUGGCGACGUUGGAGAGAUUCAAGUUCCUAGCGACGCAUUGUGAAGUUCCACAGAGCCCGACACGAAGUCCAAGCCCUAGGACAAGUCCUUUGGUACAGUUUCGUCCUAAGAAGACAACCUUAAAGAUGCUUCUCAGUCUUAUACCGCCGAGCCGUCGAGAGCAGCCGCUGAUUCAUCAGGCUCGUUCAUUAGCAGCUGAUAAAGACGUAGCUGGACGCAAACUGAGAGACUUAUUCGUUUCUUCGUCUCCUGUAGAGGAAGAAGAAGUGAAGGAGAGACCCAAGGGGAAAACAAAAGAAGAAGUUCUUGCAGCCAAUGCAGCUAAGUUGAACGCACCUGCUAGUUCACAACCGGUUUGGUUGGGAAUCAGCAAGCGGCUUCUCCAGCGAGCUUGGCGUCCUAAGCUUGGUACCAUUCCUGAGUAAAUGUAUAACCCAAUUUUCUUGUCUUUCUUAUGUGACAUUGAAAACCAAUUUGGAAACCAUGAGCUUCCUAUAUGAACAAAAUAUAGUUCUGCUUUUAUCAAAUUUCGUAUCAUGGGAACAAAUCUUUGUUUUAAUUCCUAACAAAGAUAAACAAAUCAUUGACAAAAAAAAAGGUGAAGCUUUUGUGCUCUAUUUGCUUCCAAAAGGAUUACAAAGUCUUUGAGUUAUUCACGUUUAACUAAACUCUCUGCUUUCAUGAUAAGAUCAUAACAAGAAUCAUGAGAUCGUGUGUUCUCCACUUGUUUACCAUGUUCCAUAUUUGUUUAGUUGUGACAAUUAUUUACUUGCCAUCUUUUGUUUAUUUAAAUGAUCGAGUGUUUUAUUCAAGGGGAAUGAAAAAAAAAUUGAAGUAAAUGGUUUCUUAGAAUAUGAUUAACCCGGGGUUUUUAGGAUGUGGUUCUUAGCGGAAGUUAAAAAACUGUUUCUUAACUUUUAACUAAAAAAAAGUAAGAACUGGUUUUUAAAUAAGGACUUUAAGAACCGGUUCUUAGCUUUUUUUAGUUAAAAGUUAAGAAACAAUUUCUUAACUUCCGCUAAGAACCCCACUCUAAGAAUUCCGGGUUAAUCAUGGUCUCAAGUCUUUGGGAUCUAUCAUUUCAUAGCUUCGGCUUUCCUGGUGCAAACCAUAAACCUCAACAUUGAUGUUUUUGGCUUUUGUCAUUGAAUAUUUUAUGGAUCAUCUAAUAUAGUUUAAAAAGUCGAACAUCAUGUUUGUAGUUUCUCAAAUUUGAGAGUCAUAGCAAACAUUGGCAAAGAUUGUGUUGUGAACCAGAUGAAUAACAUGUUUUUGAAAUAUAUCUAGAGGAGAGUAGAAGAUGUAAGAAAAUAUUCAGCAUUUUCGUGAUCACACAUGAACCUUAAACAGAUAAACUCAAAAUACAAGGAUAAACAUAUUUGCACGCGGUGUUCGGAGUCAAUGGUCUCAUGGACACAUAGUUCUUGAUUUGGUUUUUGAUUGAAUCUAUUUUAUGGAUGACAAAAAAGGUGACCAAAACAAUAUUCCAUAAUAAAAAAAACAGAUUACCAGGCUACGACUUGUUGGUUAUACAGUGAUAAACAAGAUAUUAGUACUUGCUUCAAUUACAAAACUAACAUGCUCAUUACCUUAUGCACAAAGUUAAGUUAGAAGGCAAUAUGUAUAAUUAACCUUAAUAAAACCCCCUAAUAAAUAAAUAAAAUCUGUAAUGCAAGUAAGCCCAGAAUUAUAACUGUAAACGGUGAGGCCCAUGCUAAACCCGAGCUAUGAUCUCGUGAGAUUAGGCGGUGGGUUAAGAUCAACGGCUGUAGUGACAGUGUCAAACAAUCGGACGGUUGAUAUGCUUUAUCACUCGCAUAUAAAAAGAAAAUUCCUUCUCCGUUCUCUCUUUGCAGCAUAGCAUCCACAACAAAUAUCGAAAGCAAGAGAGAAGAUAUAUACAUAGAGAGACUAGAGAGAAGACGAUCAAUGGUGUUUCCUGGUGAGGGAGACCGGAAGCAUGAGAGACCGACCAAGAAGGCUCUCCACAAUUUCAGGUUCCCGCACUUGAAUUGGGGAACUCAGCAAACUAUGAGGUGCGUGAAGGUCGAAGAACCUCACGGUGGCUCCGGCGGCGAGGAAGGGAUCGAGGAGUUUAGGGAGAAGAUGAUGUCGGACAUCAGAACGGUGAGAGAAUCUAUAUUUAGACAACACAAAGAGGAGGAAGAGGACACGAACGAGAAAGAUGAAGCAGAACAGCCGAAGAAGGAGACGGAGACGGAGAGGGAGGUGUCUCCUCCGGAAGAGACGGCGGAGGUGAAGAGGUUGAACUUAAGAAAGAGAAGAGGAGACUGUGAGGAUUCGUUUAUAGGAUUAGGGUUUGGGUUUGUCGAGGAGGAGAAAGUGAAUACGUCGAUAAGGUGCAAGUUCAUCUUGUCGCUGACGAAGAAAGAGGUGGAAGAUGAUAUGAUUAAGAUGGGUAAAGCACCACUGCGACGACCCAAGAAACGUCCCAAAGCGCUUCAGAAAAAGAUCAAUAUGCUGCAUCCAGGUUUUUAUUUUAGUGAGGAAGUUACUGAAGAUAUCUACCAUGUCUCGGAUGCCGCCGAGAAGGGGAAGAGAUGAUGGUGACGAUGAUGAUGGAUGGUUUGAGGUUUUUUUUUUUUUGGCUGACUUGUGGAGUCUCUUGAAGUUGGAGUGUGAUCAUAUGAUUGAUAUCAGAAAGUUGAAGCCUAAGAUGCUUUUCUCAGUUUUGUUUUUUAGCUUUUCUUUUGUUAGAAUUUGAUUUUGGGAGAAGUAUGUAGGUUCUGAUGUAGUUUGAAUAUUCUCUUUUUUUUUCAGUAAAUCAGCAAACGAACAACCUAAAAUAGAGGAUUUAACAUUUUCACCAAA